rnacentral:rRNA from 1 species
CUGAAUGGGGCAACCCGUUAGGUAGAAGACCUAACUUAUAGCAAACGCGGGGAACUGAAACAUCUAAGUACCCGUAGGAAAAUAGAUCAAUAGAGAUUCCGCAAGUAGUGGCGAGCGAACGCGGACGAGCCCAUAAAGUUUAUAUAGAUUUAGAUGAAUAUUCUGGAAAGGAUAACCAAAGAGGGUGAUAGUCCUGUAAUCAAAAGGUUUAUAUAAAUGAAGACGAGUAAGGCGGAACCGGAGAAAUUCUGUCUGAAUGUGCCAGCACCAUCUGGUAAGGCUAAAUACUCCCG